rnacentral:tRNA from 1 species
GGAAAGGUGACCGAGUGGCCGAAGGUGCUUGCUUGGAAAGCAAGUGUAGGGCAACCUACCGGGGGUUCGAAUCCCCCCCUUUCCG